ensembl:lncRNA BDNF-AS BDNF antisense RNA
UCGCGAGAUCAGGAAGGUGGCCGAGUGUGUCGCCGCGGCCAUCAGGAUUUUUGAGCCACUUCUGAAAUUUUCGCGAACCAAGAAGAAUUUUAGUACUUGGAUUUGACUAACAUUUAUCCAAGCCCUUAGUCUGUACUGAUACUGUGGAGACUACAGAAGCCAAGAAAUCCCAUAAUUUGCUGUCUUCAAGUGGGAGACCCAGAAAAGAUGCUUUAGUUCCAGUCCAAGCAUGAAGAACCAAGGCCUGAGAACCAGAAGAGCCUCUGGUGCAUAGAUAAGGAAGAAAAAAGUUUUGGAAACUACUUCUGAGAGGGAAAAAUAUGCCUGAAAUUAACCAACAGCCAGCUUGUACUUAACAUACAAAAUAAACAAAAGAAUCAACUAUUGUGUAAGGAGAGAACCCCGAAAUGUUCCUCGUUAAUCGAAAUUCAAGAGUAUUAGCGUCGGGAAAGAUCUAGAGAGUCAACUCCCUCAUAUUAAAGAAGAGAAGAUGGAUUGCUGUCCUACAUUCAAAGGAGGCCAUUAGGAGCAUGAACCAAGGGAAGCUGGUUUUCCUUCUAUGCCUCUGCCAGGUUAUUAAAUCACCAGGCCUCCUAAUCAAGAAUUGCUCUUCGUGUGGAAGAACUCCUCUUCACCUGUUGCUUCCUCAUAUUAUUUCCUGCCUCAGAGAUGUAGAGGAACUGUAAAAUUAGAAUAGGAUGUUUGGGUCUAGACAAAUCCCAGUGAAAGCUAAAUUAUGGAAAUUUAGUCUUUGUAUAACAAAUGAAAACCCUAAGUAGGCUGCCAAGGUACAAAAGCUUUCUUAACCCGAGACAUUGCAAAUACAACGUACUAAGUGAAAAAAGGAGUGGGUGGGGAACAGUGGGAGUAGAAGGCUGUCUAAAGGGAAGCUAGGAAAAUGGAAAGUAAUAUGGAGAAGCAACAUGCUCCAAGUGGAGUGUUUUACUAUUUCAUUGCCUGUUGAACUGUACACAAAUAGGCACUACUACAUAAAAUAGCUAUUUGAAACAGUUAUGCCAUUGCAGGGUAGAACAUUACUCUCAAGUAAAGGCUUCUAACUGUACAAUUAAAGUCUCAAUCUUCUUUUUUUAACAGAAUUUCUCUGAUGUACUCAGCAAAGUAAAAUUUUGAAUAGAUUAUUUUAUUUGAAGUGAAUGAUAUUGUCAAAUGUUAAAGAGUCUGCAUUUUAAAAUAAUUUAAACAAUAUAUAAAAACACUUGGCCUAAUUAAGUAAUCAUAACAGUAUGGAAAAAUCUCUUCAAGAGCACCUUUGAAGGGAAAUUUUAUCACAGAUCUCAGAUCAGAACAUAGAAACCCAUCUGUGAGUUCCAGAGAUCUAACAUAAACCCUACUUUUCCUUGUAGGAUGAGUUGCAGAUUCUAUUAAAGUGUAAGGGUUGACUUUUUUAAUGUCACUUGUUUCAUCAUCACUCUGUAGUACAUGUAAAGGCACAGAUUGAUGUAUUUUUCUGGCAUCUUCCUGACGCACCCUUGCCCUAUAUAAAUCGGUUUGCCAGGAUCUUGUUGCUUAAAUUAGCGAUUGCAAACUCUUGGUCCUGCCAACACAGCCGAUUGUGCCAAGGUUCUCAGCAUCUACUGGCACAUGAACUGUUGCCUUUUCUUUGGCUUUCUGCAUGUACCUGGGGCCAUCAUCCUUCCUUCACAAAGCAGCAGUCUGGCUUAGUUGUCCCUGAGAAAGACUUCAGGAUUGGUUGGACUCAACUCUGGCCCUCUUCAGGUUGUGCAUCCUGCACAAUGUAUUUUCAGCCACACAAUGUAUUGUUCAGGAUUUGUCGUGCACAUACUUGCAGAUUGGCAGAGCCAACUGCCAGAGAUGAGAACCUUUUAAGUUGUUGUCAAACGUCAUAAAAUGUGUUCCGUGAUUAAUUUUGUGGGCACAGAUUGGUUUUUGCACAGAGUCCAAAAUUUAGGAUAUGUCACAGUGACUAAAUGGCACCGGCAUGCUGAAUGAAUUUGGAAUUUGUUUUGUCAAGUGUGGGAGCAGGCACACAGAUGGGCUUUGAUCCAGUGGUGCUGCUUGGAAUUCUCAUUAUAGCAAUGAUGUCACUUGUCACGUGGAGUAAGUGAUAAUGCUGCCAAAUUGUGGAAAAAGCAAGGCAAAUAGGAAAGUACACAGACCAAGAGAAAGGACUUAGGUAGCACAGUAAGCUUUCACUAUCAGAUGAAUGGACAUAAACAUUGCUUUUGGGCUGCCAAAAAUAUGCAUAGUAAAAAUACAGGCAGAAAGGAAAACUUCCAACUGAAAGGGCCCUUAAAGUAGGGCCCCUGUAAUCCAAGAAGUCUUCACUUCUUAGAGAAAAUCAAGUAAAGCAAACAUGUCCUUGAUUUUUAUAUUAGGCUAUGAAAGAAAUUUCUGAGCUGCAAUCAAGAGUCUUUCUGCAAUAUCUAACCAAACCAAAGCCAAAGUAUUUUGCUUUAUAAAAAAAACCUUUGUCUAUGAAGAAGAUCAGCAGUCAUGCUGGGAAAUUGAAAAAAACAAAAACCUUAUAGUGGCAAAGAAGUACAGUAUACUCUCACCAAGCAUGCACAUCAGAAUUCUCUGUAGGGCUUUAAAAAUAUAUUCUUGAUGCAGCUACAGCAGUGCUUAGAGGGAAA